rnacentral:rRNA from 1 species
UACAGGGGGGCAAGCGUUGUUCGGAAUUACUGGCGUAAGGGCUCGUAGGCGGCCAACUAAGUCACACGUGAAUCCCAGGCUUAACCUGGGAACUGCGUGUGAUACUGGAUGGCUUGAAUCCGGGAGAGGGAUGCGGAAUUCCAGGUGUAGCGGUGAAUGCGUAGAUAUCUGGAGGAACACCGGUGGCGAAGGCGGCAUCCUGGACCGGUACUGACGUCUGAGGUGCGAAGCGUGGGAGCAAACAGGAUUGAGAU